ACACUUUCAAACCGAAACACCAUGGAAAAGGAGAGAGCUCAUUCGGCAAGCUAGGGUUCAUUAAUUUGUGUUUUUGGCGUGUUAUCGGGGGCAAAUGUAAAGCCUUCGGGCUUGGCAUUUGGUGCUGAGGCAUGUUACAAAAGGGAUGUUAGACUACGGGC